UCUCUAUGAAGAUAUAUACAGUUUGACCUGCCCACUGAAUUAUUAAAGGGCCGCGGUAUUCCUGACCGUGCGAAGGUAGCAUAAUCAUUAGUCUUUUAAUUGAAGGCUUGUAUGAAAGGUUGGACGAAAAAUGGACUGUUUCAAAUAAAAAGAUUGAAUUUAACUUUUAAGUGAAAAGGCUUAAAUAAAUUAAAAAGACGAUAAGACCCUAUAAAUCUUUACAUUUGUUAUCAUAGGUUUUGGAUUGUGUGUGUAAAAAAAAAUAUAAUAAAAAUGUUGUGUUGGGGCAACAGUGAUAUAGUAAUAUUAAUUGUUAAAAAUAAAAACAAAUAUACUUGUUAAAUAAAGAUCCUUUUUAAAGAUUUAAAGAUUAAGUUACUUUAGGGAUAACAGCGUUAUUUUUUCUGAGAGUUCUUAUCGAAGAAAAAGAUUGCGACCUCGAUGUUGAAUUAAAAAUUCUUUUUAAUGCAGCAGUUAAAAAAGAAAGUCUGUUCGACUUUUAAAUUUUUACA
rnacentral:rRNA from 1 species